AAAAUUUUAAUCUAUUAUCUUCUUUCUUUGAACGUGCAUUGUUUGAUUUUCUUUCAGAAAAUUUGAUUUGAUGGAGAAAAUUGUGUCAAUUUUAAUUAAACAUGGUGGCAAAUGAAAUUCAUCAGAUUAAGACUGAGUUUGUGUUUGUGACAAAAUGUUGAAAGAUGGAGCAUGAAAUUCCUCGGAUCUUGCUUCAUCAUUCAACCUUCUACUUUUUCGCGGGGUUUCAUUGCCUCUCUUCGACAUUAUACAAUUUUUUGAGUGCAAAAGAUGAAGAUUUGAGUGCAAAAGUGGAAGAAUUGGUGAAGAAGAAUGUUAAAAGUGAAAGUUUUUUGAGCCAAAUUUGGUGAAGAUUAAAUGUUAGGCGUGCAAAAAGAAGAUUUGGUGAGGAUUUGGGGAAUAUAAUUUUUUUUUGAACAACGUGUGACAGUUUUAAAAAGAAAACUGUUAUUAUUUUAGAUAUUGAUGGGUAGUUAUUAAUUAUGGAAUGAUAAAAUCCCUAUUAUUUUGUAAUUUUUUUAAAAGGUAACUAUAUAAUGUUUAAUUUAAUUUACACUAGUUAAAGAAUUUUGUUUAAAAAAGGUAACUUAAAAUAAUUAAUUUAAUUAAAUACAUUGAUUGAAAAAAGGUAAUUGAAUAAUAAAUGUAAUUAUUUAAAUAAGUUAAUUAUUAUUUAAAAAAAUUAAUGAGAAUAAUAUAUGUUUUCUUGAUAUGCUAUAACUUGAUAAUAAUAUGCUAUAAGUAGUUUAUUAUUAAAAAGUAUGUUUAUAACU
rnacentral:lncRNA from 1 species